GCCUAGCCCUAAACUUAGAUAGCAAAAUACUACCUAUCCGCCAGAGAACUACAAGCAAAAUACUUAAAACUCAAAGGACUUGGCGGCAUUCCACAUCCACCUAGAGGAGCCCGUCCAAUAAUCGAUAAUACCCGUUCAACCCUACCAUUUUUGGCCACUCCAGCCUAUAUACCGCCGUCGUCAGUUAACCUUGUGAAAGAAAAGUAGUAAACACAAUAGCCCUCGCUAAAACGUCAGGUCAAGGUGUAGCUAAUAAAAUGGAUGAGAUAGGCUACAUUUUCUACGAUAGAAAACACGGAAAAUACAAUGAAACUUGUAAUAGAAGGCGAAUUUAGAAGUAAAAUUAGAAAGGAUCCUUAUUUUAACACUGCCCUGGAAUGCGCACACACCGCCCGUCACCCUCCUCAAACAAGAUGAGGUAAGUCGUAACAUGGUAAGCGUACUGGAAAGUGCGCUUGGAUUA
rnacentral:rRNA from 1 species